UUGUAAAAAUAUCAAGAAUACUGGAAUUAAAAGUGGAGCCUGAGGAUGUGACUGAAUUGUCACAAUCUCAUGAUAAAACUUCCACAAAUGAGGAGUUGCU